ACUAUUAAAAAUGUUAUUGAACUAGAAAGUAAAAUGUUAAUUGCAGCAACUUCUUCCAAAAGAGAAUGUAAAUCCACAUUUCUUUAAAAGCAAAUUGAAUUUCUUACUAAAAUACCAUCACAGACCGUGUGUUUCAAAAUUAAGCAUUAACUAAGUUGUGUGAUUUGUGCUGCACCGCUUGAAGAAAGUAAAUAAAAUACUAAAAUAAAGAACUAAAUCCUAGCUGCACGGUCAGACCAACUGCUUCCAGAAUCAAGCUACGUCUCCCUCCAUUGCCAAUGAAAUGAAAAUCUUUUCCUCCAAACAUUCAAGUAAAAUCAGAAAAGUGAAGAGUGUCGGCUCCCCCAAUGUUCCAGCCCUUCAUUCUCAUUCAUCCAUAAUCAACAAAAAUAAACAUGGUUUUCUCCUAUGAAUAUGCUGCAGCCAAUUAAAAGAAAGGAAAGAAGUGCUAUCUUUAUUCAACCAAUGCCAAGAACCAAAAACAUUGUUCCUAUAGCAUUGCAGCCGAGAGAGAGUGCUAUUUUUUUUCUUCCAAAACGUUGCAGUCCCCCCUCCAAAACAACGUUCCAGCCCCAAUAAAAAUCUUUGUAUGGGUGACGGCUGGUUCCCCCAAUUCCUAGGACAUGUGUCUCAAAAAUAGGAUGGGG
rnacentral:lncRNA from 1 species